UCCGGUUUGACGGCAGGUUUCAGUUAGCGGUUAGAGAGCAGUUAAAGAGCUUCACCGCCUAAGAAGAACUUACGGAACAGAAACAUUACAAUACAAUAAUCGAAUGAAUAAACUUAACACUAACACUACUGUCGACUAAUUUGUUUUUUGCGAGCUAAGGGUUUUUUUCUUACGGGUUUCUGGCAGAGCCUCCAAAUACUGUAGGAGGUCACCGGACAAGCUAGCGUUAGCUUAGCUGCAAUCAUAAACCUUCCGCCAGUGACGACAUAAGCAAAGCGCUGAGGCCCUGUGGCAGAAAAAACGGAGUGAAAGAGCAAGAGAGAGAUGUAUGAGAAAAGAAAGAAGCACAAAAGAGGAGAUACAGAAAGACAAAAGAGUUUGAGCGAGAGCAGAGUGAGAGCGGCUGAUAUCUCAUAUCCAAGACAUCAGAAUCUGUCCUGUGGAGAACAUCGAAAAGCACUCUCAGAUCAAUCAGCCUCUUCAAGUAGAAGGACUUAUAGAGGGCAUUGAGGAAGUCUUGGGCCUGUCUCUCCAGCUGGCUGAUCCGAGACUGCUCCUGUUUGAGGGCUUCACACUCCGACAGCACCUGGCUGCCGCCGCCGUUGUCUGCGCCGUGCUCCUACGCAGACAAACACAGGGACAAAUGGGACUGCAUCCAGAAACCACCCCUUCACCAAGAACACAAUAAUAAGCAGCGGACCGACUCGCAGGCGGCGCCGGCUGCGUUCAGACCCGGGACCCGUGACAUCGGAGCUGUGGGGACGGGACCAUUCUCUGUGGAUCCUCUGUGUCGGUGGUGCCUGGAUCCUCAGUGUUUAAGAAGCUGCAUUCUGGUCGGGUGUCAUUCAAACACCAGCAGGAACCACCUUCAUAAAACACGCAGGUCCAGGACGUGGGUGGUUUUCCCCUGUUUAGUGACAUCUGUCUCUGGUUUGCAGCAUAAAUUAAGAUGGCUGCUGCACAAAGAUAAAUAAUCAUGUUGUGUUGUCUGAAUUCUGUAUGCGAGGCAAUAAAAUGUCUUGAAGACA